rnacentral:rRNA from 1 species
UAAUACGGAGGGUGCGAGCGUUAAUCGGAAUUACUGGGCGUAAAGCGCACGCAGGCGGUUUGUUAAGCUAGAUGUGAAAGCCCCGGGCUCAACCUGGGAUGGUCAUUUAGAACUGGCAGACUAGAGUCUUGGAGAGGGGAGUGGAAUUCCAGGUGUAGCGGUGAAAUGCGUAGAUAUCUGGAGGAACAUCAGUGGCGAAGGCGACUUCCUGGACUAAAACUGACGCUGAGGAACGAAAGCGUGGGUAGCAAACGGGAUUAGAUACCCCGGUAGUCCACGCCGUAAACGAUGUCAACUAGCCGUUGGGCCUAUAUACAGGUUUAGUGGCGGAGCUAACGUAUUAAGUUGACCGCCUGGGGAGUACGGCCGCAAGGUUA